GAAGCGGUGCAGCGGCUUCGUGCUGAGGCCCAGCGAGGCAGAGCCGGAGCCGGAGCCGGAGCCGAGGUGCACUGGGGCGGGGGGACGCAAGAAGGGCCGCCCGUGCUGCAGCAGACCAGGCCACAGAAACCUGUGUGGGGAAGGAAGAUGCUGGAAUUCCCUCCCUGGCUGAACUGCUAUUUUCCUCCAGCUGACUACCUGACAGAGACAUAUUGGCUGCACAAAGGAUUCAGACUACUGCCAGAAAAAGAAGACAUGCUGGAGGAGUGGGCAGGAGGGGCUUGUCUUCCCACCAGGACCCUGACCAAAACUCCAGAGGACUCAAAGGAGUGGUAAGGACUUGGAAGGAGAGAAUUGCAGGCAAAUGUUUGUUGUUUUGGGUUAGAUCUGUAACUCUUGUGCUGUCUAAGAGUAAAGUGUGUGUGUUUAUAGAG